rnacentral:rRNA from 1 species
AGCAGCCGCGGUAAUUCCAGCUCCAAUAGCGUAUAUUAAAGUUGUUGCAGUUAAAAAGCUCGUAGUUGAAUUUCGGGAUCAAGGAAUCGGUCAUGCCUUGGUAUGUACUGGUUUUAUUGGUUCUCACCUUCUAAAGAACCAUAAUGUCAUUUAUUUGAUGUUAUGGGGAAUUAGGACUGUUACCUUGAAAAAAUUAGAGUGUUUAAAGCAAGCUUACGCUUGAAUACAUUAGCAUGGAAUAAUGAAAUAGGACGUUUGAUUCUAUUUUGUUGGUUUCUAGGAUCGACGUAAUGAUUAAUAGGGAUAGUUGGGGGCAUUAGUAUUCAAUUGUCAGAGGUGAAAUUCUUGGAUUUAUUGAAGACUAACUACUGCGAAAGCAUUUGCCAAGGAUGUUUUCAUUAAUCAAGAACGAAAGUUAGGGGAUCGAAGACGAUCAGAUACCGUCGUAGUCUUAACCAUAAACUAUGCCGACUAGGGAUCGGGAUGAUGUUAAUUUUUAAUGUAACUCAUUCGGCGCCUU